GGCUCUCCACUUGCAGGAAGCACCAGGCAGCGAUUACCAGCACCCCCGACAUCUGCAAGGAGAGGAGAGGAGAGAUGAGCGGCGAGGAGACGAGAUGAGCGGCGAGGCGAGGCGGCAGCGGGGGCAGCUUCCUCGGGCAGAAGAGAUGACAAGUGGGACAGGCUCUGCUGUAAGAACGAUAGACUACUGGAGAGAAACAGAGGUGCAGGAACCAUGGAAGAUUUGCACCUGAAAUGGAAGUUCCAAGGCUUGAUCAUAAAGGAUGAAGCACACUAAGACUGUUGUUCUGGAAGAUAUCAAAUUUAUCAUACUUUCCUAGCAUCUAUCUACAUGAUUCUUCUGGGAGUUUGAUGUUAUUUUUCUACAUCUAUCUUUGAUAAAGAAGUGAAUUUAUGAGAAAGUACUUAUUUGACUCUCAUUGGUUAUUGUUCAAUUUGUGUGACCAGGUUCUGCCAAAUAAAAUAAUAGCUUUUCAAGUAUAUUUCUUCCUAAUCCUCUACUUCCCAAGCAACUUGGGAAAUCCUACUCACACGUUUUCCUCCUCUCAGACUCAGCUUUAUUUAUGACAUCUCAUUUUCUUUAAAUGUGGCUUUAAAUGAAGUACAGAUUUGGUUUUGCGCGUCUCUUUGGGGAACUGAGGAGAAAAAUGUAUGUGCAUGUAGAUGUGUGAUUGUAGAUCCUCAGGCCGCUUUCAACUAAUAAUUACACUGUAAACAUUUCAGGACAAGGGCAGCCUCAUAGUCUACAUCUGUUAGAGCAAUAGGAUCCAGUAGCUGACUGCUAUCUUCAGCCAUAACAUUAAAAGUAAUUACUAGUGUUUAUGUUAUAACAUCAACCAGGGAUUUCAGAAUUCAUACAUAAAAUAUGAGACAGUCCUUGCCAGAGCCCUAAUAGCAGAAGUUAGUUCAGCAAAGUGCGCAAACAUAGAUGUGACCUUGUGAGUAACAACUUCUGCCCCCUGCCCCAUUUUUUGUUUAAAGCUCUCCCUCCCCAACUUGUCAGCAUGUUUAAGAACCCAAAAGAGAAGUACAACAGUAAAAGAAACUCAGGAGACAUAACUGUCUUUGGAGUAACUUUGUUCCUUAGCAGGAGGGAGAAUUACUUGCCUUUUUGUUUUGGAGAAGGCAGUUCCAGUCUCAGACUGGCUAAUGAGAAGUGUCUAAUUAGCACAUAAAUCACAUAAAAUAUACUUGCUCACUUGUCUUAUGUCAGAGCAGGGAUCCAACCUUGUCCAAAUCCACAGUGGUUCUUUAACAUUAGGAAAGAAAUAUUAACUCAUUCUUCAUGAAAUCAUCACGUCUUCAUCAAGGCUCGAAGAGAAGGGACCAAGCUAAAUCCCAGUGACACGGGUUAGUAGAAAGCCUCUUACUAAAUCAGAUCCACUGCUGUGUGAAUACAGAUGUGGUAGCUUACAACUGUAUCUUGAACUAGUGAAGGCUAAUUCAGGAAAAAAACUCUCCUGUGCCACAAGUAUGCUUCUUCUGUUAAAGGAUAAGCUUUAGAAGAGUCUCAUUACCCGCGUGCAAUGUUGCUGCUGAAGGAAAAAGUGCAAGCAGCAAGGCUAGAUGCUUCCAGUGAGAAAAAAAAAAGCUUCCUUUCUUGAAAUGCACAAACCAUCUAUUUUCCUAUUAUUCCAAGCUGGAUCAUCAGCUACUAUAAGGAGACACCAUACAUAGUUAAAAUCAAUAGUGGUGUGUUGAUUUACAUCUGCUAAGGAUCUAGUUCUCUACUUCAAGCAUCCAAACCCCAGGUGGAACUAGGAGGUAAUUUAGAUAAGAAACACCAACUUCGCUAAGAGCUGACGUAACUGAUUUCUGAGGAAAGAUAUGUAGAGCUUUCCUAAAGGAAGGCUCACAGCAUAUCAAGGAUGAUAGAAAGGCUCUAGUGUUUAUAAGAAUUUGUUUCCUUAGAAAGGAAGUGAAUCAAGAGGGAAAAAAGGGAUGAAACUUAGUGAUAGGUAAAAUUCAGAAGGGUAAAAUUAAAAGGAAUAAGAGUAAAUAUUUUCAGUGGCUAUAGUAAUUGAACAUGGAGUAGUUUUGCUAAGGAUAACGAUAAAGAUAUGAGGCUACGAUACCAUGAAACUAGAUGCAAACAAGCCUCUGAAAAUAUUCCAUAUACACUCGUAUUUAAUGGGAUUUUUCUGCCUUGUUUUUGUCAUAUGGGAGUCUUAUGGGAUAUAGGAUUUUACUUAUAUUGUAUUAUCCUAACCAGCAAGAGCAGACGAUAAUCUGUUGAAAGGGCAUUUACCUGUUUGUUCUUGGAUUCUUUUGCAGGCCAACCAUGUGGUUAAGCUACGUGGCCCCAGAAAGACCACAAAUAUUGCCUAGUGCCUAUUAAUCUCUCUGUAUAGCUGCUUCAUUGCCAUUGUUAAAUAAAGACGAAUUCUUAGAAGGUGAGCAGGGCAUGUUGUACUGUACAAAACAAAAGAGUGUAAGCCCACUGACAAGAUUCUUUCAACAGAGAUCCAAAAUGAUGAAUUGUAUUUGUUAGAAAGCUUGAGCAAAAAACCAAUACUCUGAUUUUUGCUGGAUGAUGCAGGUGCUGUCAGAAGGGAAGAAAAAAUCCAAACAUUUGUUUGUGCACCUCCAACAGUGCCCUACCUUUCAGAGACAGAAAAGAGAGAGAGAAAGUGUGAAAUUUCACCUCAAGUCCCUGGUUCCCUGCUGCUGCUUCUCAUCAGAGCGGAAUCUGGAUUAGAGUGAUAAAGAAUGGGAUAUAAAGUCCCAGAAGCAUUGGAAUCUGUGGAAACUGCAUUUUCAUGAUUUCAUGAUGGCAAGCAUGGAGUUAAACAGAAAAGACCAAUUAUAAAGAGAGAUGGGCAAAAGUCAGGAGGAAAAAAAUUUAAAACUAUGAAUUGAGAUUGUGCUAGAAGUGGUGAGAUAAAAGCAAGAUGAGCACCUGGCUAUAUAAAUGCAGUAGUUACUUGAAACAGAAUGCCUAAGAGUGUUUUAUUAAAAUGAGGCUUUUAUUAUAAAAGCAGGGGCUUAUUUAAUAAGUAUUCCUCCUAAAGACUUAAAGUGUCCUCUGCCCAUGCAGCCUGCAUUCCAAGGUUAUCAGGAGAACUGUUGCUAUGGGCUGAACUCAAUUUAGCACAUGCUUUUUGUGUGGUGAGUGGAUGUGAAAAGGAUUCAGCAACACAGAUCUGUCUGUGUUCUGAAUGUGAAAUGAACUUUUGUUAAAGAUCUUGCAAACCUCAACUACAGCUGCACAAUACUGAUACAGCCAGGCAAGAAGAGGAUGACCUAUUUGCGUCUGUCUGAACUUUGUAUUCAUAUUUUGAUCACAAGCAAUGAAACCUGCGGCAAUACACCAAACAGGAAGAUGUAAGGAAGUGAGACCCUCUGUGUUUAAUUACCUUUAUAUGCUGUUUAACUUAAGAUUUUAACUUAAGAAUUUUCUCUUAUAAAAUCUUUUAACAUCAGAAAAUACUGUAUGCUCAGGAGAUUUUUAAUCAUUAUUAUGAUCAAGGAAAGUUUGAACACUGCAGGCAGAAGGUUAGAAAGGCCAUGCAUUGUAAUGCAAAUUUCAUUGUUAGGAUCCACAGAAAUAGACGUAAUUUCUCUAUAGAGGGAAAAAAAUCAUAUCCCACCAUUAUCUGGAUACAUGGCACAACACAGGAGUAGCUAAUCAUGAAUAAGGUAGUUUGCAAAAAGGCCUAUCGUUUGCCUGCCCCGAGUAUUAGUGCCCUACAGUAUUUUUGCACAUUUCUUUGACAGGAGAUAAAACUGUUCUAUUGCCUUAUGUGCAAAUUGUUGAAGAACCAGAGAUCUAAAGAGGACGUUUACUGAAAUACUACAAGAUGGUCACCAUUAAUCUAACAGCAUCUAAUGAUAUUCGCGCUCCAGUUUAAAUCUCUUGCCCAUGGAGAAGUUCUGAGACCCAUCGUAAAUGGCACCAUUUCAACGAUCAUCACUUUAGCAUCACUACAGGAGAGAGAGAGAAGGAUCUUUUGUAUGAGCCUGAUGCACAAGAUACACCCUAACAAGAACUCUGGGGUUUACAAGAUGCUCUUGUCUUUAUUCAGUCUGUCACUAGCAAAGCAAAGACCAGAUUUGAUAUUGUCUAGAAACCCCUGUUUAAAAAAAAAAAAAAAAUCAAAUUAUUUGAAUAUUUUUGUCAGUCACCCAGAUUUAAUAUUGAAACUUCUAGGCAUUUUCAUCACCAUUUGCCCCUCUCCCCCCUCCAUGCAGGAGCUCUCAGAACAUAUAUCCUAUCUUUCCUUUGCCAGAAAGUGCAAGGGGAAAAAUGGACAUAGUUCACCUAAUAAGGUGAGAAAAGACUAUCUGAGGCUUUUAGCUCGUCUCACAGUUCUGGUUAUUAUUUACUUAGUUCAGUAGGGUCUGGAACUUAUUGACAUUACAAUCUCUUGUUCACCUCAGGCACACAUUCUAAUCAACUCUCGUUACGGUCAAAUAAGUGGCUGGAGGCAGUUCUCCCCCCAGAUUCAUUGUUUUUAGAUCAGUUUCUAUAUAAUCAGGGCUCCUGCGUCAGCACUUGCAGAAAGAUUGUUUCAGCAGCUAAGUUGUUAAGGAGCUGGUAUAUUGCUUCCUGAUCAAGUGUCACAAAUUCAGAAUUACCGCAGUGUGCAAGAGUGUCCAGAUAGGAAACCAAGAGCAGAGCAGAGCUUGUUCAGCUGGCUUCUUCAGUCCCAGUGCCACUCUUGAACCUGACUCACACUGGGGCUAUCAGGUAAUUUUCUUCAGCCUUUGCCUUGAACAAAUGCUCCUGUCCAAUUACACACAACAUUUAUGAGAUGUCCCAUAUGGAAUGAGCCCUGAAGAGUACAACGUAACAUGCUAUCUAGAGUCAACAAGGAUCAACAUUACAGUAUAGAAGCUCAGACUUGUAUAUACUACAUAAACUAUAGCAAGAGCCAGCUCUUUCCCUUCCUCCCCAGAGCAGUGGAGAGAGAUUCUUUCCCCUGUUGGCUUUCUAGCUUGGUCUUUUAAUAGCUUUCUUGUGCCAAGUCCUAUAAAAUACAGUCCAUAUUCACUGCAGGGAGUGAGGCAAAUCGUGUACACAAGUCACCCAUCAGCUCAUGAGUAUUUUUGUUAGCUAUGUAGAGAAUAGCAUGUAAUUACAAGGUAGUCACGUUCAUGAUCAUUAAAACAGAGUUCUAUGUAAUAGACAUAUUAUGUUGUGAUAAUCUGUUACACUUUUGAGCGUGCACUCAUCUCAGAGUUAACAUGCCUGAAGAUAUUUUCUGUAAGGCAGGUACAUC